GCGGAGGGUUCUUUAGUUCCUCUUUUUCUGGAAACCCCGAAGCCCUCCCCCCUCCCUUCUCCUGCCGCCUUCCCAUUGUUCCCUGCACUUGGGACAGCUGGAGACGGUGGCCUGCACAACCCAACACCCCCACCCCACCCCACCCCUCCGCACACCCGGAGGCCGCAGAGCCUACUCCUGGGCCCUCGGAUAAAUCCACUGCAGGCCAGGCGGGGAAACGCUGAGAGUACCCUGCUUUUUUAUCCGCCCUGGCGAAGGGAGGGAGCUCUGCUCCCCCAAAGAGGGCCCGGUGCUACCAAGUGACUGCCUCUGUCGGCGCUGCUUCCCAACGACAUCUUCCUCUGGUCGGGGCUUAAACUCUUUUGUUUAGUUAGUUUUAAUUUACAGGGGCUGACGGUGGGAGCCCCAGAGGCCUAGGGUGGCUACGGCUACGUAACCUGCCCUAGUCUUGAGGGCCUGAGUAGGUUGCAAGACGCAGCUGGUGACUUCGUGGGGAAGAUGAGUUUGGGGGGUGGCAAAGAAGAGAAUCCGGGCUUCUCCCGUGAUUCCUCCAAAGACACAGUAGGUGGGGAGAAGUCAGUCACUUGGAGUGCCCCUAUGCUAGAGGAUAGGCCCUGCAGACACCCCCUCAAAAUUGGUUGCUCUCCAGGCUCUCCACCAGGUUCUCUGGAGAGAAGUAGUUCCAGGACUCAGCAGUGCACUGGAGACCACAGGCCUAUCAGGGCCAAGAUCAGGAUGGCGGCAGCGGUGGUUCUUCUCAAACCCUGCUACCAUCCUCAGAGCUCAAUCCACUGGAGUGCCUGGUGCCUCGAGUUCCUAAUAAGCCACCAAAGCGACCCCUGGUUUAGCCUUGAGCUGAGAAGGAGGGAGGAAGGGAAGGAGUGUCCCACGGGCUGGAGCUCUAGCGCAGAGUAGAAAGAACGCAAGGCAGGGGACGUGGAGCCGGAGCGAGGCCGGGGGAGGGGACCUGCCGCCCUCAGCUUCUCAGGCAACCGGGUCUCUCCAUAGCAACGGCCGGCGAGUGAGUUAGCACUCCUCCUCCUCCUCCUCCUCCUCCUCCUCCUCCUCCUCCCUCUCUCCUCUUUCUCCCUUCUUCUUUCUCUUUCUCCCUCCCCCCCACAGGACUUGGAGAAUGGAUCACAGAAUACUGCGGCCAGAAACACAGACUUCCUAGCUGUGAUGAGAGGUUCAGCAUCCCAGGUGCCCGGUGUGUACCCUUAGGGAUCGGGAUCCUUCACUCAGCAGCAGUGCGAGGACACGCCAUGUCCCACGCUCACCCUUUGAGAUGCCAAGGUACCUGGCUUUCCUAUUGCAGUCACAGCACCUUAAGGACAUGGAGGCGCAUCGGGGAACAUAGGGGUCUGACAGCCCAGGGCAAGACGCCCGCACCAGGCGCCCUCGAGAUCUGGGCGGGGCAGCGGAGUCGGGGGGCGCGCGGCCCGAGCUGAUAGGAACGCGCACAGCCUCCGGGAGUUCGCGGCCCAGUGUGUUCCAGCCCCAGAGCCAGCGUGGCGCGAACUCAGUGGGAUGCGGUGCACUGAGAGGAUCCCAAAGGCCACGAGGCGCCUGGCACACCCCAAGACGCGGCUCAGCGCCAUCCUCCUGUCACACCCCACUUGCUUUUCUCCAUUUCAAUGGUCCCGAGCCACAAGCAGGUGUGGGAUACAAUCCCUCUGCUCCAAGUGGCACUGACCCAUUGGAGGUCAAUUCGGACAACGGCUGGCCGGCUGGAGAGGGCCAGGGCCCAGGUCAGAUGCAAGCCAGAGCAGGACGCGCUGCCCCUGCAGGCAGCCAGCUUGGUUUUCCACAAGCAUCAAGAGACGUGGAAAUCUGUAAGUAGAGGCAUUUGUUUUACUUUAGUUUCCCAGUGUCCCAAAGGGUUCCUGCCAUGUCUGAGCACCACGCUUCGGAUUUAAUCGGAAUCCAAUGGCCGACCUGCCUUUCCCCGUGCUUUGAGGAAGGAUGGAUACAGAGGUGCAUUAUCUUGUAUUUUAGUCAUCUUUUCAAUAAUGAAAUGGCCUUAAAGCCUCCGUGCAGUUAUUUCUAUCUAGAAAAGUGUAUCUCCUCACUGGUGACCCUUACUGCUUCUCACGCCUCUGGGGGCUGUUGCCUCGGGUAGCCGGGCCCUGCAGUGGAAAGCCCCAGACCCACAUUCUGGCUGCAGAGGACAUGGAGCAGGUCCACUCUGAAAGCCAGGCACACACGCUGUCCAAGGGGUUAAGGGAAGAGUUUGGACUUCACGUGCUGACUCCUUUUGCCUAGAAACUGAUAAACCAACCCAGAAGGUUCUUGUUUCCCUCCCUUCCUUUUAAAUUUAUUUUCUGGACAGGGAAAGACCCUUAUGAAAGUUUCUCAACAGUGAUAAUUCAGCAAUCCUCAAGAAGGAUAGUGAUUUUUUUUUCAAAACCACAAAAUAAUUAUACAUGAUUUCAGAAACAUUUCUAGAAAAACUUAAACAAGACAAAAUAUGCAUGAGAUAUGUUGCUUGAAAUCUUUUAUAGACGACAAAUGGGUAUAUUAUUUAUAUAGAAGUUAGGAAUGUUUGGCCGAUGAAUAAAUUUAAAAAAGUAGCAUAUGUAAAACUCUCAGAACCUACAAAAUUCCCAAGCAAUACAGUUUAAAGUGAUUUGUUGGUCUCUGCUAAUUCUUCAUUGCUUAAAGUGCAUUUUACAUUUGUCCUGUGUGAAGCUAACUUGCUGUGAUAAGAAUCUCAUUUUCAAUUUAGGGACCAGAGUAGCCUUGAAGAGCACUCAGCUAAGUGAUUACAGUCACUCUCCAGCACACGGACUUAUUAAAGAAAAUGUAGUUUUAAGCAAAAUAGAGAAAGGCUGUUCUGGAAGACGCACUUGUGGCAAUGCAAAACACUGUCUCAGGAAGUUUAAAUGGUGUGGUCAAGGUGGAGAAUGAUUUUCAAAGUGCUUGAUUUCAGGAAACUAAACCAACUGGUUUUUUUUUUGUUUUUUUUUUUUUUUUUUUUUUUUUUUUUUUUAGCAAACACUAAUUUAUAAUUAUAGCUCACAUGUAAUAUUUAACAUACCUUUGAUUUGGGAAUCCAUUUAUAAAAUGUUUAAAUUAUGAAUUCAAAAGGAACCAGAGUUUUAAUGGCAAUGAUUAUUAUUAUUUUGGUAGCACUUUUCUCACCUCUACGAAAGAGAUGUUUUUGGCAAGCAGAAUGUCCAACUGGGUCAGCUUCUCAGGGAGCUAGGGUGCUUUGCAUGUUCUCAGCUCAGUCUGGGGACGGCUCCCUUUACCCCUUGUCAGUGAGGGUUUUUUGUUCAUUUGUUUGUUUGUCGAGGGCCAUCAGCAGAUCAGCAGAUGGUGUUACAGGGCCAGCCACCCAGCCUUGCAGACUGUGAGCAAACUUCACCCCACCAUCAGACUCAGCUCAAGAACAGGUGUUUCCUGGGAGUGGAGGGCUGAGGCUGCUAUCUGAGUAGUUAUCAGGUGCAGCUCUUCAGGCAGUGUCCUCACUUUUUAAAGUCAGGAGGAACUAAGACAUCCUGAAAUUAGUCACUCAAAUAUUUUACUUGAAUUUAGGGGGAAACAAAUAAUUCUUGAAUCAACACAGAAAAAUGGAAAUCAUUUUGGGGGGCAUGAGAAGGGGAAGAGAAUUGCCAACACAAGCCGGCUUUCAUUAUUAGUUCUAGCAUUGGCUCAUAUUCUCAUUGGUCUAAAGUUUUGUAAAUGGAAAAAAAUAGGGAUGACACUAUGGAAUAAGGCCUAUGUUUCCUCUGCAGCUUAACAUAGUUACAUGAAGCUGUGCCCCUAAAAAUAAAAAAGUACUGGCUGGAGAGAUGGCUCUCUGGGUAAAGGCGUUUGCUGCCAAGCUUGGUGGGAGGGGAGAGUCGCCUCCUGCAAGUUGUCCUCUGCAGUGGGCAUGCAUACACUCACCAUUCAACACGUGAGUGCAAAAAUUAUUUAAAUAAAAAGUGUGCUUCAGCAGAAGUUUAUGGUUGAUAGAUUGGUUAGCAAAUACAUGGUGAUUUUGUAGACUUUUCUUUCCAGAAACUUUGAAAUUAUAAUUCAAAGGACAUGACAAGCCCCAGGCCUUUGUUAUUGCUGUUAUUAGUUUUGCCCAUUAAAGGCAGUGUUCUAAAGGCCAUGUGCUCGUGGGGCAGUCACUUACAAACAGAGUGGUGUCCCUGGAGGUUCAUCUGGUGUUAUUCUCAGAUUCCAGAAAGUCUACAAGAUGAAUGACUGUUUCCCUCACUGGGAAGAUCUAGCCAUUUAUUAUUCACAAAUAAUACCGUAAAUGCAUAUUUAAUGGUUGGUAUUCAGGAUAGUGUGUCUAUUGUAUGCUUAUGACUAGAUUUUUAUUCCUCACAAAUUUGGGCUAAAAUUUCUUUGACCGAGCCUUUGUAAGAAAGACUCAUUACCACAGGAACAGAGACCUAACUUCUUUAAAAGUGGCUAAGUAGUACCAUUGUGUUCCAGUGAAUGGAAACAAGAUGCCUCUGUAGAGAAUUUCCAGGGUCUCUCUAUUUUUUUCUGUUAAGCUCUCUUUCAUGGGUCUUGUCAGGUAUGGACCACAAGUCCAGUAUGAUUGUUGGGAAACAGCUCCUUCCUGGAAUUGCUUUGGAAUUAAAAGUAGAACAACCAUUGAGGAAAUAGGCUCCGAUUGAUUGAAUGAACAGCCACAGUCCAGCAAGCUUGCCUUCCUGUGAGGAGUCUACAAAGGAGUCACUGUGAAGUGGCUGUUCUGAUAUUCUAUUGCAGAUGAAGAUGUCAGCCCAGGCAGUCCGGAUUAAUCUCCACAGCCCUCUACCUAGUGGCAUGCUCCGUCCAUUUGGCCAUGUGAACUGCUCCUCGUGAGAGCACAGGCCAGCUGGAAAUGGGGCUUCCCUCACGACCACUCUCUCCCCCGAGGCCUGCAGCCAUCUUUCACCUACUUGGCAUCUGGUGUGGAAUCCCUUGGCUUCAUAAAAAUGAUACAGACUUGUUGUCAUUUUACAUACAUGUGGCUGUGGUCUCCCUUUCUGUAGUUUGUUAUCUACAAUAAAUUGUAGACCAGAAGUCUUAAAUGGAAAAUUCCAGAAAUAAAAACAAUUCAUGAGUUUAAAAUUA